GGGAGGUGCUGGUAGGGGGGUGUUAUAACCUUCAGGGCACAACCAUCAUGAUUCAAGAUAGCGUCUCCAUGCCUGAAAGACCUGGUACAGCUUAUGCAAAAACACUUCAUCCUGCACAGUGUUUAGUUGAGGAUGGAACAAAAAGUCAAUAUGAGAGCAGAGAAGCAAAGCUAUGUUCUGCAAGUCCUAAUUAAUCAAUCAACUGGGACACAGUGAUUUCUAAAACAUGCAAGAAAACAAAGAGGCCCAGCAUAGUGGCUCACACCUGUAAUCCCAGUACUUUAGGAGGCCAAAGCAGGAGGAUUGCUUGAGGUCAGGAGUUCAAGAUCAGCCUAGGCAACAGAGCAGGAUCCUGUCU
rnacentral:lncRNA from 1 species